rnacentral:rRNA from 1 species
CACCGCGGUUAUACGAGAGACCCAAGUCGAUGGCCUUCGGCGUAAAGCGUGGUUAGGACAAACCUAAAACUAAAGAUAAACGAUUUCAAAGCUGUUAUACGCUCAUGAAAAUCUGAAGAUCAACUACGAAAGUGACUUUAAAAUCCUGACCCCACGAAAGCUAUGGUA